rnacentral:rRNA from 1 species
UACAGAGGGGGCAAGCGUUAUUCGGAAUUAUUGGGCGUAAAGGGCGCGUAGGCGGCUUGGCAAGUGGAUGGUGAAAUCCCUCGGCUUAACCGAGGAACUGCCGUCCAAACUGCUUCGCUUGAGACCGGGAGAGGUGAGUGGAAUUCCCAGUGUAGCGGUGAAAUGCGUAGAUAUUGGGAGGAACACCAGUGGCGAAGGCGGCUCACUGGACCGGUACUGACGCUGAUGCGCGAAAGCGUGGGGAGCGAACGGG